GUUGACCUCGGAUCAGGUAGGACUACCCGCUGAACUUAA
rnacentral:rRNA from 17 species